rnacentral:rRNA from 1 species
GAUGAAUGCUGACAGAAUGCUUAACACAUGCAAGUCAACUUGAAUUUGGGUUUUUAACUUAGGUUUGGGUGGCGGACGGGUGAGUAACGCGUAAAGAACUUGCCUCACAGCUAGGGACAACAUUUGGAAACGAAUGCUAAUACCUAAUAUUAUGAUAAUAGGGCAUCCUAUAAUUAUGAAAGCUAUAAGCGCUGUGAGAGAGCUUUGCGUCCCAUUAGCUAGUUGGAGAGGUAACGGCUCACCAAGGCGAUGAUGGGUAGCCGGUCUGAGAGGGUGAUCGGCCACAAGGGGACUGAGACACGGCCCUUACUCCUACGGGAGGCAGCAGUGGGGAAUAUUGGACAAUGGACCGAGAGUCUGAUCCAGCAAUUCUGUGUGCACGAUGAAGUUUUUCGGAAUGUAAAGUGCUUUCAGUUGGGAAGAAACAAAUGACGGUACCAACAGAAGAAGUGACGGCUAAAUACGUG